rnacentral:rRNA from 1 species
AGGAUGAACGCUGGCGGCGUGCUUAACACAUGCAAGUCGAACGGUGGUCGCAAGAUCACAGUGGCGCACGGGUGAGGAACACGUAGCUUAUCUGCCCAGAAGCGCGGGAUAACGCUCCGAAAGGAGUGCUAAUACCGCAUAAGCUCCCGGACUCUAGAGGUCUGGGAGAAAAGGGGCAACCCACUUUUGGAGGAGGCUGCGGCCCAUCAGGUAGUUGGUGCGGUAACGGCGCACCAAGCCAACGACGGGUAGGGGACCUGAGAGGGUGAUCCCCCACACUGGGACUGAGACACGGCCCAGACUCCUACGGGAGGCAGCAGUGAGGAAUAUUGCCCAAUGGAGGAAACUCUGAGGCAGCGACGCCGCGUGGGUGAUGAAGGCCUUCGGGUCGUAAAGCCCUUUUCUGCGUGACGAGGCAAAGGACGGUAGCGCAGGAAAAGUCUCGGCUAACUACGUGCCAGCAGCCGC